GUUGCCGGAUAGCUCACUCAGUUAAAGCACUGCAUUGCGGAGCAGAAGUGACUAGCACGGCGCGGGUUCGAGACCCGCUCGUACCA